rnacentral:rRNA from 1 species
GGAGUUAGCCGGUGCUUCUUCUGUGAGUGAUGUCCUUCCUGCCGGCUAUUAACCCGCAGGCCUUCUUCCUCACUGAAAGUGCUUUACAACCCGAAGGCCUUCUUCACACACGCGGCAUGGCUGGAUCAGGGUUGCCCCCAUUGUCCAAUAUUCCCCACUGCUGCCUCCCGUAGGAGUCUGGGCCGUGUCUCAGUCCCAGUGUGGCUGAUCAUCCUCUCAGACCAGCUACGGAUCGUCGCCUUGGUGAGCCGUUACCUCACCAACCAGCUAAUACGACAUAGGCUCAUCCGAUAGCGCGAGGCCCGAAGGUCCCCCGCUUUCCCCCGUAGGGCCGUAUGCGGUAUUAGCCUGGGUUUCCCCCAGGGUUAUCCCCCACUACCGGGCAGAUUCCUAUGCAUUACUCACCCGUCCGCCGCUCGCCACCAGGGAGCAAGCUCCCCGUGCUGCCGCUCGACUUGCAUGUGUUAGGCCUGCCGCCAGCGUUCAAUCUGAGCCAUAAUCAAACUCUGA